rnacentral:rRNA from 1 species
CAGUCGCCGCGGUAAUACGGAGGGUGCAAGCGUUAAUCGGAAUUACUGGGCGUAAAGCGCACGCAGGCGGUCUGACAAGUCAGAUGUGAAAUCCCCGGGCUUAACCCGGGAACUGCAGUUGAAACUGUCAGGCUGGAGUGAUGUAGAGGGGAGUGGAAUUCCAGGUGUAGCGGUGAAAUGCGUAGAUAUCAGGAGGAAUACCGGUGGCGAAGGCGGCCCCCUGGACAAAGACUGACGCUCAGGUGCGAAAGCGUGGGGAGCGAACAGGAUUAGAUACCCCAGUAGUCCCUGUCUCUUAUAC